AUGUUGCACGUCUGCGGGGGGAUGAGAAGCCCCGACCGGGGUUCGACUGCUGGCGCAGCCAGCUGGACAGAUGACGAGCCUGUGAGGAAUCUGCCCGCAGGGCGAGCAAAGCGAGUCAAUCCCCCCCUCACCGCCA
rnacentral:sRNA from 1 species